rnacentral:rRNA from 1 species
UGGGAAUAUUGGACAAUGGGCGAAAGCCUGAUCCAGCCAUGCCGCGUGUGUGAAGAAGGCCUUCGGGUUGUAAAGCACUUUCAGCGAGGAGGAAAGGUUGGCAGCUAAUACCUGUCGGCUGUGACGUUACUCGCAGAAGAAGCACCGGCUAACUCCGUGCCAGCAGCCGCGGUAAUACGAAGGGGGCAAGCGUUGUUCGGAAUUACUGGGCGUAAAGCGCGCGUAGGCGGCGUCGUCAGUCAGAGGUGAAAUCCCAGGGCUCAACCUUGGAAUUGCCUUUGAUACUGCGAUGCUUGAGUUCGAGAGAGGGUGGCGGAAUUCCUAGUGUAGCGGUGAAAUGCGUAGAUAUUAGGAGGAACACCAGUGGCGAAGGCGACUUUCUGGACUGUAACUGACGUUG